rnacentral:rRNA from 1 species
CCAAUAGCGUAUAUUAAAGUUGUUGCAGUUAAAAAGCUCGUAGUUGAACUUCGGGGUCUACCCAUUGGUCAGGCUUAAUUGUCUGCACUGGUGAGAUGGAUCUCUACCUUCUGAGGAACUUUCAUGCCAUUUAUUUGGUGUGAUGGGAAAUCAGGACUGUUACUUUGAAAAAAUUAGAGUGUUUAAAGCAGACUUAUCGUCUGAAUACAUUAGCAUGGAAUAAUGAAAUAGGACGGACUGAUUCUAUUUCGUUGGUUUCUAGGAUCACCGUAAUGAUUAAUAGGGAUAGUUGGGGGCAUUAGUAUUCAAUUGUCAGAGGUGAAAUUCUUGGAUUUAUUGAAGACUAACUACUGCGAAAGCAUUUGCCAAGGAUGUUUUCAUUAAUCAAGAACGAAAGUUAGGGGAUCGAAGACGAUCAGAUACCGUCGUAGUCUUAACCAUAAACUAUGCCGACUAGGGAUCGGACGAAGUUAAUUUUUUGACUCGCUCGGCACCUUACG